rnacentral:tRNA from 1 species
UCCUGAUGGCUCAGUGGUAAAGAACCUGCCUGCCACUGCAGGAGACGCAGGUUCGAUCCCUGUGUCCGGAA